AUUGAACGCUGGCGGCAUGCUUUACACAUGCAAGUCGAACGGCAGCACGGACUUCGGUCUGGUGGCGAGUGGCGAACGGGUGAGUAAUACAUCGGAACGUGCGCAGUUGUGGGGGAUAACUACUCGAAAGAGUAGCUAAUACCGCAUGAGAACUGAGGUUGAAAGCAGGGGAUCGUAAGACCUUGCGCAACUGGAGCGGCCGAUGGCAGAUUAGGUAGUUGGUGGGAUAAAAGCUUACCAAGCCGACGAUCUGUAGCGGGUCUGAGAGGACGACCAGCCACACUGGGACUGAGACACGGCCCAGACUCCUACGGGAGGCAGCAGUGGGGAAUUUUGGACAAUGGGCGAAAGCCUGAUCCAGCAAUGCCGCGUGCAGGAUGAAGGCCUUCGGGUUGUAAACUGCUUUUGUACGGAACGAAAAGCUUCGGGCUAAUACCCUGGAGUCAUGACGGUACCGUAAGAAUAAGCACCGGCUAACUACGUGCCAGCAGCCGCAGUAAAAC
rnacentral:rRNA from 1 species